ensembl:lncRNA
AAUAAUACAAGUGCUUAUUAUAUAAGUGCACGGAUAUCAAAAGGUGUGAAAAGUAUAAUCGUUAAGUAACUCUAAACCUGAAGUCAAAGUUUAUAUAUGCGAUUUAAAAGAAAAAAAUUGUAACCCAAACGUGGGUUGUGCAAAACAAAAGCUUGAAGUGUGUGUGCUGCAUAAAUGAUGAGCGACAUGGGAGUUGUUGAGAUGCCCAUAAUGAAGUAGGAUUCGCUGCAUACAUUUAGGGAAUUUCACAGCCACAAUGCAUUGGAAGAAUGGGGCUGCAAGUUUUAAUAGCUAGAUCUCUUCAAGUAAACAACAAAACAACUUGGAAGAUUGCGAAUACCGAAGCCUCUGCGGUGGUUCUCAAAUGAGGUGGAGGGGCAGCUAUCACCUGCAUGGGUGAAAAAGGAGUGGGAGGACCUGAAGCAAAAUACUUACACUUAUUGCUGUGCUUGGCUAAUAAAGUUCCCCUUUUCUCUGAAGCAACAACACUUUCCCAUCUAUUUCCUAUGCUUCACUGGCACAUUCAUGUGUUGAAAGCUCCCCCCACCGGAGUCAGCACGGAGGGAGGGGAGGCCACAGCCACAUCCUGGAAGUGGUAUGUGGGGAUGGGUGAGGCGCUGCAGGGGCUCUCACUCUAUCACCCCACCAGUCAUCAUCUCUUCUGUUCUUCUGUUUUUGGUGAAGUCCUUUAAACUCAAAGUGGAUUUCUGUUUUCUCAUUGAAAAGUGUUUGUUUGUAAUAAAAUAAAAAAAUUGAUACCAGUACAUCUACUGUUGGUGUGUUUUACUUCCAACAUUAAAAAAAUGCACUCGCACAUCAGAGCUAUCUUGUGUAAGGUGCAUGGUAACAAUUAAGUUGAAAGAAAAAAAUUACCCGCAGACUGCUCUUGCAUGUAUCACUUUUUUUGUGUGAAGAUUACGCUCUACUAAAC